UGUAUUAUUCUACAAUGUAGAAAAUAGAAAAAAUAAAGAAAAACCCUUGAAUGAGUAGGUGUAGUAAAACUUUUGAAUGGUACUGUAUACCACCAACAGGUUUCUGUGCCAAUGCACCAGAUAACCAAUAAACAAAGCAUACCUACCUAUCAUUUCGCGUUUUCAGCACCACAAUAAAGUGACAUAGUCUAUCUCGACAGAGAGAAAAUACAUACCCUACCUUGAAGGCCUACCCAGUAUCGAAGGCUUGACUUGACAAUCUCUAAAUGUCAUUAAACGUUUUUUAUUUUAAUAACCGAUGUCUCUUUUCAUUCAUCAAAUGAGCGCUGCGCAGUUUGGAUUUAUCAAUUGAUUGAUUUUACAAAGUUUAAGUGGAUUGCAGGAUUGCACAAUAAAGUCAGUGACUUAUUUCCUACGUGAUCCCUAUUUUUUUCAAAAAAUACAUAUACAAUUACAUAGAUAAAGACCAAGAAAUGCUCCACCUCCAGAUAAGUUUAGCUCAGCAAAAAGGAUAAGGAAACAUCCUCUCACUGUCAACUGUAUUUAUUUUCAGCAAACUUAACAUGUGUAAAUAUUUGUAUGAACAUAACAAGAUUCAACAACUGAGACAUAAACUGAACAAGUUCCACAGACAUGUGACUAACAGAAAUAGAAUAAUGUGUCCCUGAACAAAGGGGGGGUCCAAAUCAAAAGUAACAGUCAGUAUCUGGUCUGGCCACCAGCUGCAUUAAGUACUGCAGUGCAUCUUCUCCUCAUGGACUGCACCAGAUUUGCCAGUUCUUGCUGUGAGAUGUUACCCAACUCUUCCACCAAGGCACCUGCAAGUUCCCGGAAAUUUCUGAGCUCUAGCCCUCCGAUCCAACAGGUCCCAGACGUGCUCAAUAGGAUUGAGAUCCGGGCUCUUCGCUGGCCAUGGCAGAACACUAACAUUCCUGUCUUGCAGGAAAUCACGCAAAGAACGAACAGUAUAGCUGGUGGCAUUGUCAUGCUGGAGGGUCAUGUCAGGAUGAGCCUGUAGGAAGAGUAACACAUAAGGGAGGAGGAUGUCUUCCCUGUAACACACACAUUUCCUGCAAUGACAACAAGCUCAGUCCGAUGAUGCUGUGACACACCGCCCCAGACCAUGACGGACCCUCCACCUCCAAAUCAAUCCUGCUCCAGUGUACAGGCCUCGUGUUACACUCAUUCGACGAUAAACGCGAAUCCGACCAUAACCCCUGGUGAGAUAAAACCACGACUCGUCAGUGAAGAGCACUUUUUGCCAGUCCUGUCUGGUCCAGUGACGGUGGGUGUGUGCUCAUAGGCGACAUUGUUGCAGGUGAUGUCUAGUGAGGACCUGCCUUACAACAGGCCUACAAGCACUCAGUCCAGGCUCUCUCAGCCCAUUUUAUUAUUAUUUAAAAAAAAAUAACGCUUAUUUAACUAGGCAAGUCAGUUAAGAACAAAUUCUUAUUUUCAAUGACGGCCUAGGAACAGUGGGUUAACUGCCUUGCUCAGGGGCAGAACGACAGAUUUUUACCUUGUCAGCUCGGGGAUUCGAUCUUGCAACCUUUCGGUUACUAGUCCAACGCUCUAACCACUAGGCUACCUGCCGCCUCAUUGCGGUCAGUCUGAGGACUGAUGGAGGGAUUGUGCGUUCCUGGUGUAACUCGGGCAGUUGUUGUUGCCAUCCUGUACCUGUCCUGCAGGUGUGAUGUUCGGAUGUACCGAUCCUGUGCAGGUGUUUUUACACAUGGUCUGCCACUGCGAGGAUGAUCAGCUGUCCGUCCUAUCUUUCUGUAGCGCUGUCUUAGAUGUCUCACAGUACGGACAUUGCAAUUCAUUGCCCUGGCCACAUCUGCAGUCCUCAUGCCUCCUUGCAACAUGCCCAAGGCACGUUCACACAGAUGAGCAGGGACCCUGGGCAUCUUUAUUUUGGUGCUUUUCAGAGUCAGUGGAAAGGCCUCUUUAGUGUCCUACGUUUUCAUAACUGUGACCUUAAUUGCCUACCGUCUGUAAACUGUUAGUGUUUUAACGACCGUUCCACAGGUGCAUGUUCAUUAAUUGUUUAUGGUUCAUUGAACAAGCAUUGGAAACAGUGUUUAAACCCUUUACAAUGAAGAUCUGUGAAGUUAUUUGGAUUUUUACGAAUUAUCUUUUAAAGACAAGGUCCUGAAAAGGGGACGUUUCUUUUUUUGCUGAGUUUAUAAGGGGGAGUUUAAAUCUUACAAGCGUGUUAUAGUCUGUAGCUUAUUCUUUAGGUGUUUGGGGCUGCUGGUAAACCAUGAUGUGCAGGCAUAAUCAAAGUAACACUGGACUAGUGCAGUUGCCUGAGUCUUUAUGGUGUCUAUAGCUAGGUUUUCAUCCAAUUGGCGACAGAUUUUCAUGCAAAUAUUCUAAAAUCUGCAUAAAAACAAUAUGCACAUUUUCCCAUCAGAGUUGUUUCCAACAAAUUACUUGUUGCAGAUAAAAGCCUGUGUGUAAAUAUGUAGUGCACAUAAAAAUAACUUUUGUGGUUAAAUUCUCAUGUACCGAAUAAAAAGUUAAAAGGGUUUCCAUUGCAUUUUCAACUCUAGGCCUACUGAUGGUUUUGUCACAAAAAAUGUUGCGUACAGUGCCUUGCAAAAGUUUUCAUCCCCCUUGGCAUUUUUCCCAUUUUGUUGCAUUACAACUUGUAAUUUAAAUUGAUUCAUGUAAUGGACAUACACAAAAUAGUCAAAAUUGGUGAAGUGAAAUCCCCAAAAUAAAUAAAAAACGGAAAAGUGGUGCAUGCAUAUGUGUUCACUCUCUUUGCUAUGAAGCCCCUAGAAUAAGAUCUGGUGCAACCAAUUACCUUUUAGAAGUCACAUAAUUAGUUAAAUAAAGUUCACCUGUGUGCAAUCUAAGUGUCACAUGAUCUGUCUCAUGAUCUCAGUAUAUAUACACCUGUUCUGUGUCACAUCUGCUCCUGCAACGCCUUCUACUGCUCAUCCUGUGUCUCCUUGACCUGCCGCCACACCCUAGUACUCUCUCUCUCUGUCUCUCUCUCUGCCUCUCUGUGUGUGUGUGGGCGGAGACAGGUGUGCUGGAGUCAGAGCAGAUCCCCACCAGCUGCAACCUGUUCCAUAAUAAAGACCUCUACAAAUACUCAGCCCUUCCAUGCUGCCAGAUCGUAAUCUCUGCUCAUUCUGUCUGCUCUGACUCUGGUCUCUGUCUCCAGUCCCACGUCUCGUCAUCCUGCUACUCUGUCCUGGAUUCCCCACUCUACUACUCCCUUGGAUUCCCCUCCGGACCUGCUUACCCUGUCUCAACCCCUCUCGCUCCAGCCUCAGCCUCCGAACCUGGUUUCCAGCAACCUGCCCGAGCUUCCCCUGACCUGCACUCCAUCUCCCCCGUGUUUCAAUAAAUACCUUGGUUACUUCA